rnacentral:rRNA from 1 species
CGCUUUGAGGAUUGACAGUUAUUGUAUAGUUCUGAUAUGGGUGGUAUUUGUAGUCAACGUGUAGGUAGUUGUAUAUUAAAUAUGAAAGUUCUUUUAUGAUUAUGUGAUAGGUGGUGCAUGGCCGUCCUUAAUUCGUGGAGUGAUUUGUCUGCUUAAUUGCGCAUUGCAAAUUGUAAUUGAUCUUUUACCAGUCUCGUUCUGAUUUAUGUUGUGAAUAUUGUAGAAUAUUGUUGUCGUCAAGUCAUUAUUGCCACUACGUCUGGUCCUUUGGGGGCAGAAUAGUGUUGUAUAUUUUGUCUUGUCAACACAAAAUUCUUCACAAUAUUGUAGCCGUACUUGAUUGUAUGCGCUAUUCAUGUAUAUGUGAUCAGUCAAGACCAGUUCGGCUGCUUGCACACAUCGCCAUCUCAACAUGAUCAGUCAGGCUGCUAGAGACCUUGUGUCUUGCCCCAAAGGUUGAUUAACACC